rnacentral:misc_RNA from 1 species
GUGAGCCCUAAUCAACAACGGGAUAGUGAGUGUGAAGAUUUUGAAUAGGCUAAUUGAAUUUGCAGCAGUUUCAUUUCCCUUGUUUCACGUAUAUGAAAUCAACAGAGAUAGAUGAACAAGGAUGAGGAGCCUAACAAAACUAUUUCACCCUCUAUUUUGUCUGAUUCAAGUCCAUAAGACAGAUGUCUAUUCUUAAUACAUGGCGAUCAUCAAGAAAAAA